GAGAUUUACCCAGGGCCACUUGAAAGGUGAUGGCAGAACAAAGAGCUGAACCAGAGACCUUCUGAACUUCUAAAGCAUCUUUCCUGCCUGACUGCCCAGUCACACAAAGCCCAGAGGACAAAAACUUAAAAACGAAACAACAAACCCAACCAUCUCCCUGUGCCUGUGCUGCCACCUCCCUCUCUCUCCUCUGCCUGCGGCAGGCAGCUCGGGCUGUGAGGACCCCGUGCCGAGACUGAGGAAGCAACUGUAUAUACGGAUGGGAGACAAGCUGGGUGCUCAUCAGGAGGAAACAGCUUUCAGUGGCUUCCAGAUGGGGCCCUUUCCCACCUGUACACCCUAGGACGCUGAAAACUACUGCAAGCCAGGAGGCCUCACACAGGAACUCAACAACCCUAGCAAGAAUAUAAUUGCCUUCAGAGCUAGCAGUACCGGCAUGAGAGACUGCCUUCAGUAGGAACAGACUUUCCACCAUCUCACGCCUCACCCAGGUGCAUGACUUCGUUUGCAAAGGCCCAAGGGAGUGAAACAGCUCUGUAAGGCCUUAGGAGAAGGGAAAUUGCUAUCAGACUCCUGUUGAUUCCACAGCCCACCAAGGACGCUGCUGGCUUCUACAGGCCAUCCCCCAUCUGUUGGAAUAGCGGGAAGUUUUGCUUUAGCAAUAAAAAAUAAAAAAUGCUGGAGUCCAACUGGUGACUGAAGUCUGGUGCCAGGCUCUGCUGCAGAGACAUCACAGCUGCCUACAGUGCCUGCUCUGAAAGAGGUGCUCAUUAAACAUUUGCCUUGGGUUUAUUUUCCCUGUUUGCUGUACCCAAGCAUUCACAACAAAAAUUCCAUAAGGGAGAGCUGCA
ensembl:lncRNA